CCCCUCUCAGCAUCACACCUGGAGAGUUUCCAGAACUCUACCAGUCUCGGCUACGGGAGGGAGAGUCAAGCAGAAGUCUACCCAUUCCAUUCCUAGCUUGGCCAGUGGCUAGGGAGUGAAAGGGAAUCUGCUACAAAC